GUCCUGACUGACCCCUGCGCUCCCGCCGCAAGGCGGCGACACACGGCAGCGGGCGGGCGGCCUGGCCGUUUCUGGUUCAGUUGGCCGGGGUUUUGGUGUCACAUUUUAAACGUUUAGGUUAAUUUAAAAAAUCAAAAUAAUAUACGUGUUACUGAAAAGUAAUGUACUACCUGAAAGUUGAGAAUUGUGUGUUACUUGGCGGACCAAACUGAGGACUGGAGCCCAGCAAGAGACAGCUUGGAAGAGAAAAAGUUUGCCCGGCUUUGCCUUGGAGGAUGGUGAUGACACAAGACGGAGGGAACCAGGGUCCCUUAUGUGGAGGAAAUUUGUCUGCCAGCCAGGAACACCUGCUUACAUUGGACUCUUUGGAAGGACUUACAUCUACUACUCACUGGCCAGAACGGAGGCACACAGCCACCAAAGCUGCAAGGGAGGCUUGGGAAGCCUCCUUGGCAUCUGAGUCUUUGCCCCAGAGAUGGUCUGGGUAGCCAGAAGAGUGAGGACCAGAGGCUGGGAGCCCAUCUCUGGAGGAGGCCAGCUUCCUUCUUCUCCAUCACUCAGUACUGCUGUCUCCUUUGAGACGCUUGUGCUCUGGGACACAGGUAACCCCUGCCCCCACUUCCAAGGCAACGUAGAAACUCCCUGUGGGUGAGGUCAGACAUUCCCACCCCUGGCUUUCCUAAACCCCUCACCCUGAUUUCUCCUCCUGACGUGUUUGGCUCAGGCUGAGGGAAGGUCAAACCAGUGGACCCCAGCCGAGGUCACCCUGGGCCUGGAGAAACUGCAGAGGGGCACAGGGGCUGCCCAAGUUCAAGUCCACCCACCUUCCUCCCUUGCAGGGGUCAGUGUACAGCUUAGCUCUCCACAGCCCUCCCAAGACACGAAGCAAAGGGUGACCCAGAAGGCAGUUAGCAUCAGCACCUCUGCCCCUCCAGGCUGCGCACUCAGUGGCUGUAAGAGAGUCCCCUUCUGUGUUCCUCCCGUCCUCACCUGCCCACUCCCAUCUUCCUGCUGCACCGACUCAGACACGUGCCCCACAUCCAUUCACCUACUUUGUUAUCCUUCCCCUCUGCUUUGCUGCAAGAAUUUCUGCAGAGUCCUCUAGACCACUUCCUAACCUGUGAUGCAUUUUCUAAAGACCUCAUGCACACAGGCUGACCCCUGAGCCCGCACAGCACACACACUCCUCUGUCACCGGGUUUCUCUCAUUUGUGACAACCCUCCCCCACCCCACUAGACCAUAGCGGGAGGGGGCCUCAGGUGUCCCAUCUUCUCAGGAGGCCUGUAGGCUUGGACACAGCAGGCUUCACCACCUGCAAGUGCCCCACCCCUUUUAAGUCACACCCAUGGCCUGUGGAAGAUCUUGGGCCAGGAAUCGAACUUGAGCCUCAGCAGUG